rnacentral:rRNA from 1 species
AUAUAGGUCAAGCUACAAAGGGCGCAUGGUGAAUGCCUUGGCAUCAGGAGCCGAUGAAGGACGUGAUAAGCUGCGAUAAGCUUCGGGUAGGCGCACAUAGCCUGAGAUCCGAAGAUCUCCGAAUGAGGAAACUCACAUGGGAAACCCCAUGUAUCAUUAAGUGAAUACAUAGCUUAAUGAAGGUAACCCAGGGAACUGAAACAUCUAAGUACCUGGAGGAAGAGAAAGAAAAAUCGAUUUUCUUAGUAGCGGCGAGCGAAAGGGAAAGAGCCCAAACCGGAAACUUGUUUCCGGGGUUGUGGACAUAACAUAAAAGUGGAGGCUAUUGUAACUGAAGAGAACUGGAAAGUUCCACCGUAGAAGGUAAUAGUCCUGUAAGUGAAACGAGAAGACCACGAGUUAUGAUCCAGAGUACCACGAGACACGUGAAACCUUGUGGGAAGCAGGGAGGACCACCUCCCAAGGCUAAAUACUACCUGAUGACCGAUAGUGAAGCAGUACCGUGAGGGAAAGGUGAAAAGAACCCCGGGAGGGGAGUGAAAUAGAACCUGAAACCGUGUGCCUACAACCGCUCAGAGCCCCUUAUGAGGGUGAUGAGGUGCUUUUUGUAGAACGAGCCAACGAGUUACGGUAUGUAGCAAGGUUAAGUACUUAAGGUACGGAGCCGAAGGGAAACCGAGUCUGAAUAGGGCGACUAGUUGCAUGCCGUAGACCCGAAACCGGGUGACCUAUCCAUGGCCAGGUUGAAGCGAGGGUAAAACCUCGUGGAGGACCGAACCACGUUGCUGUUGAAAAAGCAUGGGAUGAGCUGUGGAUAGCGGAGAAAUUCCAAUCGAACCCGGAGAUAGCUGGUUCUCUCCGAAAUAGCUUUAGGGCUAGCGUCGAGUAUGAGUAGUGGAGGUAGAGCACUGAAUGGGCUAGGGGGCAUAGCGCUUACCGAACCUUAUCAAACUCCGAAUGCCACAUACUUUGAGCUCGGCAGUCAGACUACGAAUGAUAAGAUCCGUGGUCAAAAGGGAAACAGCCCAGAUCGUCAGCUAAGGUCCCAAAGUGUAAGUUAAGUGGGAAAGGAUGUGAGAUUUCUAAGACAACUAGGAUGUUGGCUUAGAAGCAGCCAUUCAUUAAAAGAGUGCGUAAUAGCUCACUAGUCGAGAGAUCUUGCGCCGAAAAUGUAACGGGGCUAAACUUACCACCGAAGCUACGGGCUUGAACUUAGUUCAAGCGGUAGGAGAGCGUCGUAACCGGGCUGAAGUCGUACCGUAAGGAGCGGUGGACUGGUUACGAGUGAGAAUGUUGGCAUCAGUAGCGAGAUGUGGGUGAGAAUCCCACAGGCCGAAAACCUAAGGUUUCCUCAGGAAGGUUCGUCCGCUGAGGGUUAGUCGGGACCUAAGCCGAGGCCGAAAGGCGUAGGUGAUGGACAACUGGUUGAUAUUCCAGUACCACUACCAUCGUUAUUAUCGAUGGCGUGACGCAGGAGGAUAGUGUGUGCUAGCUAUUGGAUGCUAGUCUAAGCGUUUAGGCAGUGAGAGUAGGCAAAUCCGCUCUCAUAAUGCUGAGGCGUGAUGGGGAAGGUUCUACGGAACCGAAGUACAUGAUUCCACGCUGCCAAGAAAAGCGUCUAGAGAGAGAAGUAGUGCCCGUACCGCAAACCGACACAGGUAGGUGAGGAGAGAAUCCUAAGGCCGGCGGAAGAAUUACAGUUAAGGAACUCGGCAAAUUGACCCCGUAAGUUCGCGAGAAGGGGUGCCUACGAGAGUAGGCCGCAGAGAAUAGGCCCAAGCAACUGUUUAGCAAAAACACAGGUCUCUGCUAAAGCGUAAGCUGAUGUAUAGGGGCUGACGCCUGCCCGGUGCUGGAAGGUUAAGGGGAACACUUAGCGCAAGCGAAGGUGUGAACUUAAGCCCCAGUAAACGGCGGCCGUAACUAUAACGGUCCUAAGGUAGCGAAAUUCCUUGUCAGGUAAGUUCUGACCCGCACGAAUGGCGUAAUGACUUGGGCACUGUCUCAACUGUAAAUCCGGCGAAGUUGUAGUGCGAGUGAAGAUGCUCGCUACCCGCGAUUGGACGGAAAGACCCCGUAGAGCUUUACUGUAGCUUAGCAUUGAGUUUUGGUAUUGUCUGUACAGGAUAGGUGGGAGACUAGGAAACCAGGGCGUCAGCCUUGGUGGAGUCAACCUUGGGAUACCACCCUGACAGUACUGAAAUUCUAACUGGCGGCCAUGAAUCUGGUCACAGGACAUUGUUAGGUGGGCAGUUUGACUGGGGCGGUCGCCUCCUAAAAAGUAACGGAGGCGCCCAAAGGUUCCCUCAGAACGGUCGGAAAUCGUUCGAAGAGUGCAAAGGCAGAAGGGAGCCUGACUGCGACACCCACAAGUGGAGCAGGGACGAAAGUCGGGCUUAGUGAUCCGGUGGUACCUCGUGGGAGGGCCAUCGCUCAACGGAUAAAAGCUACCUCGGGGAUAACAGGCUGAUCUCCCCCAAGAGUCCACAUCGACGGGGAGGUUUGGCACCUCGAUGUCGGCUCGUCGCAUCCUGGGGCUGAAGUAGGUCCCAAGGGUUGGGCUGUUCGCCCAUUAAAGCGGCACGCGAGCUGGGUUCAGAACGUCGUGAGACAGUUCGGUCCCUAUCCGUCGCGGGCGUAGGAAAUUUGAGAGGAGCUGUCCUUAGUACGAGAGGACCGGGAUGGACUGACCUCUGGUGUACCAGUUGUUCCGCCAGGAGCACAGCUGGGUAGCUAAGUCGGGAAUGGAUAAACGCUGAAAGCAUCUAAGCGUGAAGCCAACCUCAAGAUGAGAUUUCCCAUAGCGUAAGCUAGUAAGAUCCCUUGAAGAACACAAGGUUGAUAGGUCGGGGGUGUAAGCAUGGUAACAUGUU